UACGUAGGCAGCGAGCGUUGUUCGGAGUUACUGGGCGUAAAGAGUGCGUAGGCGGUUUUCUAAGUUUGGUGUGAAAUCUCCCGGCUUAACUGGGAGGGUGCGCCGAAGACUGGAAGGCUUGAGUAUGGGAGAGGUAAGCGGAGUUCCUGGUGUAGCGGUGAAAUGCGUAGAUAUCAGGAGGAACACCUGCGGUGUAGACGGCUUACUGGACCAUCACUGACGCUGAGGCACGAAAGCGUGGGUAGCAAACAGG
rnacentral:rRNA from 1 species